UUUUUUUAAAAAAAAAAAGCAUUUUCUUUAUCCAUCUAAUCUCAUGUACACAUUCCACAUAAAUUCUGAAAUCCCACCACUUGGAUUUGGAAUCCACAGCUCAGAUUCCAAUUCCAUCUCCAAAACCAAAAUCCACUUGAGAAGACAUAAGAGAUUAACAUAAUAAUAUAACACAGAACUAGAUGUACAUGAAAUAAAAGGUAAUAGAAUAAUAGCAAUAAUGAACUAGUUACAUCUUUUCACAACUUUAUUAUACCUCUAAAUUACUGAGACCCAAAAUUAUCAACACCAAAUCAUCUGCUCCCAGGUUCCAUUCCCACAAAUGUAGCAUAUUCGAGAACCGUGUAGCCUUCAUGAAAAGUCCUCCUUACAUUAGACUCAUAGCUCUCUAUUGAAUUUUAAGGUCAUUGUGAAUACAAGAGGUGAUAAACAUAGCAAUUCAGUUACAUUGAAACUUUAACAUGUUGCUCAUCCUAAAAAGGUUAAAAAAUUGACAAUAAAAGAAAUAUAAUAUUUUAAGGAAAAAAAUACACCUAGCCUGGGCUCAAUUUCUUUAGAUUCUAACCCAGAAGGUUAUCUCACCCUUUUUUUCCCUAACUUCUGUUGUAACAAUAAAAUGGUGAAUGAAUAUUUUUCCCUUUCCAAAGUGAACUUUCUCACUUCUCCUUCCUGUGUUGUUAAUGUUACCCUCAACGCCACUAACAACAAAACCCCAAAAAAAAACAUGAAAUUAUCUACCAAAACCUUGCCUGUUUUCAGUAUCUAAAGAGACUCAGUAGAAAUGAUUUUAAUUUUGCUGAGCCACAAGCUGAUCAAUCUGCAAUUGCUCAAUCCAUGCCCCCACUGCCUGAUCAACUGAUUCAAUUUGGGAGUUCAUAAUCAGACCCUCGCUUGAAGAAGCACUAGCUGCAAUGCCAGUGGAGACGGGCAUGGCCAACUUUUCUUUAAUCUCAUUUGGAGACUCCUUAAUAAAUGAUUGUACCCAUGAUAGAUCAGGCUCCUCUCCAUU
rnacentral:misc_RNA from 1 species